UACGUAGGGUGCAAGCGUUAAUCGGAAUUACUGGGCGUAAAGCGUGCGCAGGCGGUUUUGUAAGUUUGUCGUGAAAGCCCCGGGCUCAACCUGGGAAUUGCGAUGAAGACUGCAAGGCUUGAAUCUGGCAGAGGGGGGUAGAAUUCCACGGUGUAGCAGUGAAAUGCGUAGAGAUCGUAAGGAAGACCAGUGGCGAAGGCGGGUCGUCUGGACAGUUCCUGACACUGAGGCACGAAGGCCAGGGGGAGCAAACGGG
rnacentral:rRNA from 1 species